UACAGAGGGUGCGAGCGUUGUUCGGAAUUACUGGGCGUAAAGCGCGCGCAGGCGGCCCUUUAAGUCCGCUGGUCAAAGACCGGGGCUCAACCCCGAGUCAGCCAGGGAUACUGGAGGGCUGGAGACAGGUAGAGGCAAGCGGAAUUCCUGGUGUAGCGGUGAAAUGCGCAGAUAUCAGGAAGAACACCAAUGGCGAAAGCAGCUCUCUGGGACGGUACUGACGCUGAGACGCGAAAGCGUGGGGAGCGAACAGG
rnacentral:rRNA from 1 species